rnacentral:rRNA from 1 species
CAGUAGCCACGGUAAUACGGAGGGGGCUAGCGUUGUUCGGAAUUACUGGGCGUAAAGCGUACGUAGGCGGCUUUGUAAGUUAGAGGUGAAAGCCUGGUGCUCAACACCAGAACUGCCUUUAAGACUGCAUCGCUUGAACGUCGGAGAGGUGAGUGGAAUUCCGAGUGUAGAGGUGAAAUUCGUAGAUAUUCGGAAGAACACCAGUGGCGAAGGCGGCUCACUGGACGACUGUUGACGCUGAGGUACGAAAGCGUGGGGAGCAAACAGGAUUAGAUACCCGAGUAGUCCCUGUCUCUUAUAC